GCGGAUGUAGCCAAGUCGGAUCAAGGCAGUGGAUUGU
rnacentral:tRNA from 1 species